AUUGAACGCUGGCGGCAUGCUUUACACAUGCAAGUCGAACGGUAACAGGUUAAGCUGACGAGUGGCGAACGGGUGAGUAAUGCAUCGGAACGUGCCCGGUCGUGGGGGAUAACGCAGCGAAAGCUGCGCUAAUACCGCAUACGAUCUGAGGAUGAAAGCGGGGGACCGUAAGGCCUCGCGCGAUCGGAGCGGCCGAUGUCAGAUUAGGUAGUUGGUGGGGUAAAGGCUCACCAAGCCAACGAUCUGUAGCUGGUCUGAGAGGACGACCAGCCAAACUGGGACUGAGACACGGCCCAGACUCCUACGGGAGGCAGCAGUGGGGAAUUUUGGACAAUGGGCGAAAGCCUGAUCCAGCAAUGCCGCGUGCAGGAAGAAGGCCUUCGGGUUGUAAACUGCUUUUGUACGGAGCGAAAAGGUUUGGGUUAAUACCCUGGGCCGAUGACGGUACCGUAAGAAUAAGCACCGGCUAACUACGUGCCAGCCGCCGCCGUAA
rnacentral:rRNA from 1 species